UUCUAGCUACAGGCUUAACACAUGCAAGUCGAGGGGCAGCAUGGUCUUAGCUUGCUAAGGCCGAUGGCGACCGGCGCACGGGUGAGUAACACGUAUCCAACCUGCCGUCUACUCUUGGACAGCCUUCUGAAAGGAAGAUUAAUACAAGAUGGCAUCAUGAGUCCGCAUGUUCACAUGAUUAAAGGUAUUCCGGUAGACGAUGGGGAUGCGUUCCAUUAGAUAGUAGGCGGGGUAACGGCCCACCUAGUCUUCGAUGGAUAGGGGUUCUGAGAGGAAGGUCCCCCACAUUGGAACUGAGACACGGUCCAAACUCCUACGGGAGGCAGCAGUGAGGAAUAUUGGUCAAUGGGCGAGAGCCUGAACCAGCCAAGUAGCGUGAAGGAUGACUGCCCUAUGGGUUGUAAACUUCUUUUAUAAAGGAAUAAAGUCGGGUAUGGAUACCCGUUUGCAUGUACUUUAUGAAUAAGGAUCGGCUAACUCCGUGCCAGCAGCCGCGGUAAUACGGAGGAUCCGAGCGUUAUCCGGAUUUAUUGGGUUUAAAGGGAGCGUAGAUGGAUGUUUAAGUCAGUUGUGAAAGUUUGCGGCUCAACCGUAAAAUUGCAGUUGAUACUGGAUAUCUUGAGUGCAGUUGAGGCAGGCGGAAUUCGUGGUGUAGCGGUGAAAUGCUUAGAUAUCACGAAGAACUCCGAUUGCGAAGGCAGCCUGCUAAGCUGCAACUGACAUUGAGGCUCGAAAGUGUGGGUAUCAAACAGGAUUAGAUACCCUGGUAGUCCACACGGUAAACGAUGAAUACUCGCUGUUUGCGAUAUACAGCAAGCGGCCAAGCGAAAGCGUUAAGUAUUCCACCUGGGGAGUACGCCGGCAACGGUGAAACUCAAAGGAAUUGACGGGGGCCCGCACAAGCGGAGGAACAUGUGGUUUAAUUCGAUGAUACGCGAGGAACCUUACCCGGGCUUAAAUUGCAGAUGAAUUACGGUGAAAGCCGUAAGCCGCAAGGCAUCUGUGAAGGUGCUGCAUGGUUGUCGUCAGCUCGUGCCGUGAGGUGUCGGCUUAAGUGCCAUAACGAGCGCAACCCUUGUUGUCAGUUACUAACAGGUUCCGCUGAGGACUCUGACAAGACUGCCAUCGUAAGAUGUGAGGAAGGUGGGGAUGACGUCAAAUCAGCACGGCCCUUACGUCCGGGGCUACACACGUGUUACAAUGGGGGGUACAGAGGGCCGCUACCACGCGAGUGGAUGCCAAUCCCCAAAACCUCUCUCAGUUCGGACUGGAGUCUGCAACCCGACUCCACGAAGCUGGAUUCGCUAGUAAUCGCGCAUCAGCCACGGCGCGGUGAAUACGUUCCCGGGCCUUGUACACACCGCCCGUCAAGCCAUGGGAGCCGGGGGUACCUGAAGUGCGUAACCGCGAGGAGCGCCCUAGGGUAAAACUGGUGACUG
rnacentral:rRNA from 1 species